CUUGUAAUAUUUUCUACUGCUUUACUUUUUCAGUUGUUAAUCAAACUCCGAUCCGCACAGAACAAACAAAUUUUUGUAUAGUUUCAAGUUCCUGUUUGGUUUCAGAAAUUUUACGGAUCGAAAAUGUGUGACCCUUGUGGAUCGUGCUGCGCUCCUUGCUGUGGUCCGUGCUGCGGUCCGUGCUGCGGUCCCUGCUGCGGUCCGUCCUGCGGUCCGUGCUGUGGUCCGUGCUGUGAUCCUUGCUGUGGACCCUGCUAUGGUCCCAAUGUCUGCGGACCGUGUGGCGCAACAGGACCCUGUUCAGGCUGCUUUGGCAGUUGCUGAGCAAUAGGAAUUACAAAUUCCAAACGACAGGGUCUAAACCUUCCAUCACAAGUCCGAUGAAACCCGCAGAAAGCUUGAAGCUAUCGUUUAGUCUCUACGAAUAAAGCCUUUACAAAUACAAACAUUUCACAAAUCUUUUGCUUUUCAUUUUCGAUUUCAGCUUCGGUAAUCACUAUCAAUCUGAAAUGGAAUGCAGAGUUGAACAGAAAAAUAUCAUUGAUCCUUAGUUAAGAACUCCAGCCACUGCCAAAUCCCUCUUCCGUGCGUCGUGAUCUGGGAUACCAGAAUAAGUGUAAAACUGUAAAU
rnacentral:sRNA from 1 species